GUCCCAAGUUCCAAGUUUUGAGUUUAUCUUAAACACUUGUUACAUGGCACCUGAUACUUUAUUACAUUUCUAGUGGCGGACGGGUGAGUACACGUUGGAACCUGCCCCAAAGUGAGAAUAAGCCACCGAAAGUGGUCUAAUACUUCAUAAUAUCCAUCUCGUAUGGAUUAAAGCUUUAUGCGCUUUGGGAGGGGCCUGCGUAACAUUAGCUUGUUGGUGAGGUAAAAGCUCACCAAGGCUUCGAUGUUUAACUGGUUUGAGAGGAUGACCAGUCACACUGGGACUGAGGUACGGCCCAGACUCCUACGGGAGGCAGCAGUAAGGAAUCUUCCACAAUGGGGCAACCCUGAUGGAGCAAUACCGCGUGCAGGAUGAAGCGUUUCGGCGUGUAAACUGCUUUUAUCACCGAAGAUUAUGACUGUAGGUGAAGAAUAAGGACCGGCUAACUACGUG
rnacentral:rRNA from 1 species